rnacentral:rRNA from 1 species
UGACGGUACCCUUUCGAAUAAGAGGUUGCUAACUCUGUGCCAGCAGCAGCGGUAAUACAGAGACCUCGAGCGUUAUCCGGAUUUACUGGGCGUAAAGCGUCUGUAGGGGGUUUGUUAAGUUCCAAGUAAAAUCUUAAGGCUCAACUUUAAGUUCGCUUGGAAAACUAAUAAACUGGAGUCCAGCAGAGGUGCAUGGAAACUUGCGGUGUAGGAGUGAAAUCCGUUGAUAUCGCAAGGAACACCAAAGGCGAAGGCAUUGCACUGGGCUGGUACUGACCCUGAGAGACGAAAGCGUGGGGAGCAAAACGGAUUAGAUACCCGUGUAGUCCACGCCGUAAACGAUGGAUACUAGAUGUUCGGGGAUUCGACCCCCUGGGUGUCACAGCUAACGCGUUAAGUAUCCCGCCUGGGAAGUACGGCCGCAAGGCUAAAACUCAAAGGAAUAGACGGGGAUCCGCACAAGCGGUGGAGCGUCUGGUUUAAUUUGAUAGUAAGCAAUGGACCUCACCAAGGUUUGACAUCCUAUGACAACCCUGGAAACAGGGCUUCCUUCGGGCAUAGUGACAGGUGCUGCAUGGUCGUCGUCAGUUCGUGCCGUGAGGUGUUCCGUUAAGUCGGGAAACGAACGAAACCCUCGUCGCAUGUUACAAAUUUCAUGCGAGACUGCCCGGGUCAACCGGGAGGAAGGCGGGGAUGACGUCAGAUCAGCAUGGCCCUUAUACCUUGGGCUACACAGGCGCUACAAUGGCCGGUACAAAGGGUUGCAAAACCGCGAGGUGAAGCUAAUCCCAUAAAGCCGGUCCAAGUUCGGAUGGAGGCUGCAACUCGCCUCCAUGAAGUUGGAAUCGCUAGUAAUCGUGGAUCAGCCAUACCACGGUGAAUACGUUCCCGGAUCUUGUACUCACCGCCCGUCACACCAAGAGAGUUGGUAGCUCCUGAAGCGUCGCAUUAG